AUACGUAGGGGGCGAGCGUUGUCCGGAAUGAUUGGGCGUAAAGGGCGCGUAGGCGGCGCGGUAAGUCUGGAGUGAAAGUCCUGCUUUCAAGGUGGGAAUUGCUUUGGAUACUGCCGCGCUUGAGUGCAGGAGAGGUUAUCGGAAUUCCCGGUGUAGCGGUGAAAUGUGUAGAGAUCGGGAGGAACACCAGUGGCGAAGGCGGGUAACUGGACUGCAACUGACGCUGAGGCGCGAAAGUGUGGGGAGCAAACAGGAUUAGAUACCCUGGUAGUCCACACUGUAAACGAUGAAUGCUAGGUGUAAGAGGUAUCGACCCCUUUUGUGCCGGAGUCAACACAAUAAGCAUUCCGCCUGGGGAGUACGGCCGCAAGGUUGAAACUCAAAGGAAUUGACGGGG
rnacentral:rRNA from 1 species